CUUCUAUCUUCUCAUCUUCUCUUUUUUUCUUUCAUCUCCUUACCCCCCAACUUCUCAUUUUUAUAUGAAAUGAUAAUGAUGUUUAUCUCCAGCUCUAUGUGAAGGUCACAAGGUUGAAGAAUAUUAGAUUCUUAAUGCGUAAACCCUAAUCCCUAAUCUCGAGAUCCUCAAGCUGUUGGGGGUUCCAAAUCCUAAAUCAUGAGAUUCUUGGAGUUGUCGAAUGGUUGAUGGGAAGGUAGCUUGGAUGGUUGUAAAAUCAAUCACUUCAGCCAUUCCUCUAGGAGGUUCGGA
rnacentral:lncRNA from 1 species